UCCGUCGGGUGCUCUCUUUCCUCGGCCUUACUGGGCGUAAAGCGUGCGCAGGCGGUUUUGUAAGACAGAUGUGAAAUCCCCGGGCUUAACCUGGGAACUGCAUUUGUGACUGCAAGACUAGAGUACGGCAGAGGGGGGUAGAAUUCCACGUGUAGCAGUGAAAUGCGUAGAUAUGUGGAGGAAUACCGAUGGCGAAGGCAGCCCCCUGGGUCGAUACUGACGCUCAUGCACGAAAGCGUGGGGAGCAAACAGG
rnacentral:rRNA from 1 species